rnacentral:lncRNA from 1 species
CCAAAGCCUAUAAAUAGGCUCCUCCAUCAAAGAAUCAAGAAACCAAUUCACAAAUACAUUUCUCUACUCCCAAAUUGGAAGAGAAUCCCCCAAAUCUUUGAAGCUUUGAAACCAAUUCACAAAUACAUUUCUUUACUCCCAAAAUGGAAGAGAAUACUCCCCACAUAUCCAAAAUCCUUGAAGCUUUGAAACUCUAAAGCUCUCAAGCAAAUCCCGAAGGAUCAAGAAAGCCCUCUUCGUUCUUCAUCAAAUCCUCCUUCAAGAUCAAACCCCAACGGCCCUUGAAGAACUUCCACCAAUUCAAGAUCAAGUCUCGACGGCCCUUGAAGAAAGUGUUCAUCGUUCAUCAUCCGUUCAUCCUAAGAUCAAGCCCCAACGGCCCUUUGGAUCAACAACAUCAACAAAUCCACACAUCCAUUCAUCCUAAGAUCAAGCCCCAACGGCCUUUUGGAUCAACAACAUCAAUAAAUCCACACAACUGUUCAUCCCAAGAUCAAGCCCCGACGGCCCUUGGAUCAACAAU